GAUGAACGCUGGCGGUAUGCUUAACACAUGCAAGUCGAACGGACUCUUCGGAGUUAGUGGCGGACGGGUGAGUCACGCGUGAGAAUGUGGCGUUGGGUUCGGGACAAUCCCUGGAAACGGUGGCUAAUACAGGAUGUGCCGCGAGGAAAACGAGAAAUUGCCUGAAGAUGAGCUGGGGUAUGAUUAGCUAGUUGGUGAGGUAAAGGCUCACCAAGGCAGCGAUCAGUAGCUGGUCUGAGAGGAUGACCAGCCACACUGGGACUGAGACACGGCCCAGACUCCUACGGGAGGCAGCAGUGAGGAAUGUUCCGCAAUGAGCGAAAGCCUGACGGAGCAAUACCGCUUGAGGGAAGAAGGCUCUUGGGUUGUAAACCUCUAUGCUUAGGGAAGAACAAAAUGACGGUACCUAAGGAAUCAGCAUCGGCUAACUCCGUG
rnacentral:rRNA from 1 species